CGAGCGAGAGAGAGCUUGCUUUCUCGAGCGAGUGGCGAACGGGUGAGAAGCGUGAGGAACCUGCCUCAAAGAGGGGGACAACAGUUGGAAACGACUGCUAAUACCGCAUAAGCCCACGGCKCGGCAUSGAGCAGAGGGAAAAGGAGCAAUCCGCUUUGAGAUGGCCUCGCGUCCGAUUAGCUAGUUGGUGAGGUAAMGGCCCACCAAGGCAACGAUCGGUAGCCGGACUGAGAGGUUGAACGGCCACAUUGGGACUGAGACACGGCCCAGACUCCUACGGGAGGCAGCAGUGGGGAAUAUUGCACAAUGGGGGAAACCCUGAUGCAGCGACGCCGCGUGGAGGAAGAAGGUCUUCGGAUUGUAAACUCCUGUUGUUGGGGAAGAUAAUGACGGUACCCAACAAGGAAGUGACGGCUAACUACGUGCCAGCAGCCGCGGUAAAACGUAGGUCACAAGCGUUGUCCGGAAUUACUGGGUGUAAAGGGAGCGCAGGCGGGAAGACAAGUUGGAAGUGAAAUCUAUGGGCUCAACCCAUAAACUGCUUUCAAAACUGUUUUUCUUGAGUAGUGCAGAGGUAGGCGGAAUUCCCGGUGUAGCGGUGGAAUGCGUAGAUAUCGGGAGGAACACCAGUGGCGAAGGCGGCCUACUGGGCACCAACUGACGCUGAGGCUCGAAAGUGUGGGUAGCAAACAGGAUUAGAUACCCUGGUAGUCCACACCGUAAACGAUGAUUACUAGGUGUUGGAGGAUUGACCCCUUCAGUGCCGCAGUUAACACAAUAAGUAAUCCACCUGGGGAGUACGACCGCAAGGUUGAAACUCAAAGGAAUUGACGGGGGCCCGCACAAGCAGUGGAGUAUGUGGUUUAAUUCGACGCAACGCGAAGAACCUUACCAAGUCUUGACAUCCCUUGACAGACAUAGAAAUAUGUAAUCUCUUCGGAGCAAGGAGACAGUGGUGCAUGGUUGUCGUCAGCUCGUGUCGUGAGAUGUUGGGUUAAGUCCCGCAACGAGCGCAACCCUUAUGGUCAGUUACUACGCAAGAGGACUCUGGCCAGACUGCCGUUGACAAAACGGAGGAAGGUGGGGAUGACGUCAAAUCAUCAUGCCCUUUAUGACUUGGGCUACACACGUACUACAAUGGCGUUAAACAAAGAGAAGCAAGACCGCGAGGUGGAGCAAAACUCAGAAACAACGUCCCAGUUCGGACUGCAGGCUGCAACUCGCCUGCACGAAGUCGGAAUUGCUAGUAAUCGUGGAUCAGCAUGCCACGGUGAAUACGUUCCCGGGCCUUGUACACACCGCCCUCACACCAUGAGAGCCGGGGGGACCCGAAGUCGGUAGUCU
rnacentral:rRNA from 1 species